rnacentral:rRNA from 1 species
UACGUAGGGGGCUAGCGUUGUCCGGAUUUAUUGGGCGUAACGAGCGUGUAGGCGGCCAGGUAGGUCUGCUGUGAAAACUCGAGGCUCAACCUCGAGAUGUCGGCGGAAACCAUCUGGCUAGAGUCCGGAAGAGGAGAGUGGAAUUCCUGGUGUAGCGGUGAAAUGCGCAGAUAUCAGGAAGAACACCUAUGGCGAAGGCAGCUCUCUGGGACGGUACUGACGCUGAGACGCGAAAGCGUGGGGAGCGAACAGG